GCUGUUCAGGAUGGUGGGCGAGAUCUUCAUCUACUGGUCCAAGUCCCACAACUUCAAGCGCGAGGAGCAGAACUUUGUGGUCCAGAAUGAGAUCAACAACAUGUCCUUCCUGACUGCUGACAACAAAAGCAAAAUGGCUAAGGUCGGGGCUUGGUUCUGGGAGGAGCAGUUGGCAGAGAGGGCGGGAGCACCCUCUAGGGCUUCCUACCUGGCCUGUCCUCACCCAGCCAGCCCGUCCUGGGCGCAUUCCCUGCAGUCCUCAGAGCAGCCUCUCUUACCUCCUCUCCCUCUCCCUUCCUCCCCAGCUCCUUCCUCCUCCUAUAUCUUCUCCCUCCUCCCAUCUCCCUCCUCCUCUCCAUCUCCCUCUUCUCUCAUCCCUGUCUCCUUCCUCCUCCUGUAUCUUCUCCCUCCUCCCAUUUCC
rnacentral:sRNA from 1 species